CGGCAGCGGCGGCGGCUCCUGCGGGCAGCGCUGGGCUGGUAGGGCGAGGAGUGGCAGCCGCCGGGCGGAGAGAGAUGCGCGCACACACCAGCGCGGAGAGAGAGAGGGAGGAUGGAUGGAGCGAUGCACAGAGCCAAAAGGACGUAGAGACACCCAGCAGGAAAGGGAGAAAGAGAGAGGGGAAAUGCUCAGAGCUGACGAGAACUGCACGGUGAUCAGUGGAAAGGGGAGGAGAGAGAGGCAGAAUUGAGGGACAUCUCUCAGGGGAGACGGACACUUGCAAGGGAAGAGCGGGUGAGGGAGGCUGCGAAGACGCUCUAAUCUGAUUAACGGGAGAGCGAGCCCGGAGAGGAGCGGCGGCGGCAGCAGCCACAGCGGGAGGCAGGUGGCACCUCCUCAGUCUCUUAGAGCUCCGUGACCGAGUGCAGACAGAGAAGAAAAAGUCACCUGGAAACCUCUCUCCACCUCCCUCCUUCCCAUCCCGUUUGUCUGGGGAGUCCCAUGCCUGCCGUUAUCUGGGAUGGCAAAGCCUGAGAGCUGGCACAGAAAGAAAUCGGGGCUCCUUUAUAUGCACUGUACGUAGGAGGGGGAAAAAAAAUCCCCCCCGUGAGGCUGUCAAGGUCCUCAGUAUACAAUUUUCUGUCUAUCUCGGCGCCUCUCACCAAGCCGCCCCCUCCCUUGCGUGUGACGCAGAUGUGCUCUGGGGCCGUCAGUGUGAAGAGACAGAGAGAAAAGGAGAUGCUUCAAGCUUCGUCAUGCAAAAAUGUAAGCUAGAAUGUUGUGCCAGGCACUUCUGCAAGGAGAAGAAAUAAUUUGUGGAGCAUUGCCUGCUUCUGAGUUCCAAAGUCACUGCCACCAUUCCUACGCUCAUCCAUAUCUCCACCAGCUGACUGUAGAGUGAUGUUGAGGCUGUAAUUUCCAUGGCAUUUUAACACCAGAAAGGACUAUUUCAAAGAUACAUUUGAAAACUGUAUCUGAAUGUCAGAGUUGUUGAAAUACAACAAUUUUAAUGAAUAUGACUCAUGCCAACUUGGAAAAAGAAACCAAUAAUGAACAACUAAGUGAGGGCUUUGUGUACAUAUUUAAAAUUGAAAUCAUACCAGAUUAUACUGUUUUGUUUUUUAAAUCUGCCUGCAUAUGAACUCUUCCUUCUUCAUCUCUUAAAAUAAUUAAAUAGCCUCCUAUAAUUUGGCCACAUAGUAAUCCUUUUUCCAUCUGGCCUGUACCGUAUGAAAUUUGAAAUACUUCAUGGUUUGAUAAGCUUGCUUUUUUAUUGAAUACACUAAAGUGCUCUAGAAAAAGAUCCUUAUUGGAAUUCGUAAUGUUGCAAAUGAAGGAUAAAUCUAUAGAAAGUGAGAUGGGAGCUUUCAUUUCUUUAGAUCCAUAUUUAAUUGCUUCUGAUCAAGAAAAGAGAUUAUCAUUACUGGGCUAAACUUCUGCUGAUUCCUUCUGAAAGUUUAUGGUUUUCCUGCUCAGAAUUCAUCAUGUGUUUCUCCUUAUAUGGAGCAAGAAGUAUAAAUCUAAGAUAAAUGAAGUGAAAAUUAUUUUAGUUUAAUAAAAAUUUAUGAAAAGGUAAUUUUGCAAAGAACAUAUAAGAUUUAGAGAUGGAUGAGCAGAAGGACUGCACAAUUAGAUUCUGUUGAAAUUUACUUAAUAAUAAAGGCAAUACAUAUUUAGUCUUCUUGAAGCAAUGGAUUCUUUAACAUGUAGCACUCGAUUCUCAGCUCAGUAAAUUACAUUUUUUUCAGUUUAUUUUUAUUUUGUUAAAAGCAGUGAAUUUGUUAAAAGGCAGUGAAUAUUUAAAGUUCUCCAUUUGAUCAUAAAGGCUUCAUGGAAAAAAAAGCAAACUGAAUAAGGAAUUUAACAAAUACCUCUGAAAAGUAUUUUCUUUCUUCUCCCUAGUGCAUGUUUUAUGUACUUAAGUUUUAUAGCUUUCUCACUGACCCCAUUUAAGAGAGUUGCAGUCCAGAAAUGUGUAUGUGUAUGCAUGCAUUGCCAAAUAUUGAGUAGGUGUCAUUUAAUCACAACAAAUUCAAUAUACUAAUUCAAGUUCUUCCUCAGGUACAGGAAACCAAAUGUCUCAGAUCUCAGGAAAAAUUUUCCUAGCAGUUUAAUCUAUCCCAGGUGUGUGCACAAUAUUUGUUGUCUACCUUUUGCUUUUUUCCCAUCUCCAUAGUUUCAUAAGUCAAAAAGAGAAGAAUUCUGGUACUAUUAAAAGUACAAAUUGUUAAUUGCACUUAGACAAAUCCUAAACUAUGAAUACCAGCAAUUAAAAAGAAAAUUUAAGAAAAGUAUUACUUUGACCUCUCCAAAUUAAUAAAUGUUGACAUCAUA